AUGCCGCCCUCCUGCGCGCUCGCAGCGCGCCCCCCCCGGAGCUGUUCCGCUGGCUGGCCGAGAGACCUGUUUUUUUCCCCGGAGUCAGGUCGAAGGGCCCCGGCUCCUUCGCUUUGGCGUUGGCGGUGGCGCUGGGCACCUGGCACUCAGAAAAGCCCCGGGGCCCGGCGGGCGGCGCCGGGUGCCGCGGAGCGGAGGCGGCGGCGGGCCCCACCCUCGCCAGGGCCGGGCGUGCGGGCUGGCUGGUGCCGGGGGCGUGGACGCAGGUUCGGGAGGACGCGGCAGCUGGCCCGGGACCUAGGGGCUGCGGCCAUGACCUCGCCAUGGAGAGAGGUGCUCCUGGAGAGCCUCCUGGGAUAUGUUUCUUGGUCUCUCUGCCAUGACCUGAGCCCAAUGAUCUAUUACUUUCCCCUGCAAACACUAGGACUCACUGGGUUGGAAGGUUUUGCCGUAGCAUUUCUUUCUCCAUUAUUCCUCACAAUUACUCCUGUCUGGAAACUGGUUAAUAAGAAGUGGAUGCUAGCCUUGCUGCGGAUAAUUACUGUUGGUAGCAUCGCCUCCUUCCAGGCUCCAAAUGCCAAACUUCGGCUCAUGAUCCUUGCACUUGGUCUGUCUUCGUCACUGGUGGUGCAUGCUGUGACGUGGUGGACAGGAAGAGGCUUGCAAAGGUACUUCAGAAUCUGGGGAUUCAUUUUAGGACAGAUUCUUCUUCUUGUUCUCCGCAUUUGGUACACGUCACUAAACCCAGUCUGGACUUAUCAGAUGUCCAACAGAGUGAUACUGACAUUAAGUACUAUUGCCACACUUGAUCGUAUUUACACAGAUGGUGCCUGCUAUAAACCUCAUGUUCCUCACCCACUGGAUUUUUGGAGAGGUGUCUCUUGUCUCCAGAUGGGCAGUGAGUGGACACCCCCAUCCAGGGCCAGAUCCGAACCCAUUUGGAGGUGCAGUUCUGCUGGGCUUGGCAAGUGGAUUGAUGCUCUCGCCUUGUUCAUGGUUUCCGGGUUCCGGUUUAAUCUGGUGGAUUACAGGAGCGACCUCGGCAGCAGGACUCCUUUACCUGCCCACGUGGGCAGCCGCUGUGUCUGGCUGUGUGCUUGCUCUCUUCACGGCAUCCAUGUGGCCUCAAGUGCUUGGACACCUUAUUAGCUCAGGCUCAAGCCCUGGAAAAGCCAUGACCACUGCCAUGAUAUUUUAUAUUCUAGAAGUAUUUUUCUGUGCCUGGUGCACAGCUUUUAAAUUUGUCCCAGGAGGUGUGUAUGCUCGAGAAAGAUCUGAUGUGCUUUUGG
rnacentral:lncRNA from 1 species